rnacentral:rRNA from 1 species
GACGGAGGAUGCAAGCGUUAUCCGGAAUUAUUGGGCGUAAAGCGUCCGCAGGUGGCAGUUCAAGUCUGCUGUCAAAGACCGGGGCUUAACUUCGGAAAGGCAGUGGAAACUGAACAGCUAGAGUAUGGCAGGGGCAGAGGGAAUUCCUGGUGUAGCGGUGAAAUGCGUAGAGAUCAGGAAGAACAUCGGUGGCGAAGGCGCUCUGCUGGGCCAUAACUGACACUCAGGGACGAAAGCUAGGGGAGCGAAUGGG